rnacentral:rRNA from 1 species
CGGACGGGUGAGUAACGCGUAGGUAUCUAUCCACGGGUGGGGGAUAACAGCGGGAAACUGCUGCUAAUACCGCAUGAUGCCUGAGGGCCAAAGGCGCAAGUCGCCUGUGGAGGAGCCUGCGUACGAUUAGCUUGUUGGUGGGGUAACUGCCUACCAAGGCGACGAUCGUUAGCUGGUCUGAGAGGAUGAUCAGCCACAUUGGGACUGAGACACGGCCCAA